rnacentral:rRNA from 1 species
GGUCCUACGGGAGGCAGCAGUGAGGAAUAUUGGUCAAUGGCCGGAAGGCUGAACCAGCCAAGCCGCGUGAAGGACGAAGGUGCCAAGCAUUGUAAACUUCUUUUGUCAAGGGACAAAAUCAGGCUCGAGAGCCUGACCGAGGGUACUUGAAGAAAAAGCAUCGGCUAACUCCGUGCCAGCAGCCGCGGUAAUACGGAGGAUGCGAGCGUUAUCCGGAUUUAUUGGGUUUAAAGGGUGCGUAGGCGGACAGUCAAGUCAGCGGUAAAAAUGCGGUGCUCAACGCCGUACAGCCGUUGAAACUGGCG